UUUUGUCUGAAGUUGAAUAAGACGACCCGCUGAACUUAAGCAUAUUAAUAAGCGGAGGAAAAGAAACUAAAAAGGAUUUCCUUAGUAGCGGCGAGCGAACAGGAAAUAGCUCAAGCUGUAAAUUAACGAUUUAUCGUUGAAUUGUAGUCUCACGAAGCACUACGAGUAAACAAGCUGUAAUAAGUCUCUUGGAAGAGAGUACCAAAGAAGGUGAAAGUCCUGUCUUUUUCCAGUUUGUGUUACGUACUGUAUGCUUUCCUAGAGUCGCGUUCCUUGAGACCGGAGCGCUAAGUCAGGUGGUAAAUUUCAUCUAAAGCUAAAUAUCCGUGGGAGCCCGAUAGAGUACAAGUACCGUGAGGGAAAGCUGAAAAGAACUCUGAAAAGAGAGUUAAAAGAAACUGAAAUUGCUGGAAGGGAAGUGGAAGGUUUGGGCGUUCAAUGUUGGUUUAGCUCGCCACAUGUAAUCAACAACAGGUUACAAGUGGUGCAGCGGCUUGCAGUGACACUGAACACAAAGACGUGUUGAAAAUGCGAAAACAGGUCGCUUUAUUUCUUUGGAAAUAGACGGUCUAUUAGCGUUUGUCUUGUUGUCUUUGUAAAGUAGCACGAACUAUUUACAUGCUACUAGGUUCAGGUGUUCCCUCACCUUCCGUCCCGUCUUGAAACACGGGCCAAGGAGUCUAAGUUGUGCGCGAGUGCAAAGGUUGUAAGACCUAUGUGCAAAAUGAAAGUGAACAGUUGAGCAAGUUUGUACUUCCACCAACGUCCAACAGCAUUGUUGAGACCGAGCGUACAGUUUAGGACCCGAAAGAUGGUGAACUAUGCCUGAGUAGGGUAAAGCCAGAGGAAACUCUGGUGGAAGCUCGAAGCGAUACUGACGUGCAAAUCGUUCGUCAAACUUGGGUAUAGGGGCGAAAGACUAAUCGAACCAUCUAGUAGCUGGUUCCCUCCGAAGUUUCCCUUAGGAUAGCUGGAUUCUAUUAGAAAGUUGCACUAGGUAAAGCGAAUGAUUAGAGGUAUCGGAGGAUUUUUCCCUUCGACCUAUUCUCAAACUUUGAAUGGGUGCGAACUAGUAGUUUCUUAAUUGAACUAUUAGACCUAAUGACGACUCCAAGUGGGCCAUUUUUGGUAAGCAGAACUGGCGAUGAGGGAUGCUCCUAACGUUGAGCUAAGGUGCUUAAAUUUUGCUCAUAAGAUACCAUAAAAGGUGUUGGUUCAUUCAAACAGCAGGACGGUGGUCAUGGAAGUUGAAAUCCGCUAAGGAGUGUGUAACAACUCACCUGCCGAAUGAACUAGCCCUGAAAAUGGAUGGCGCUGAAGCGAAAAUACCGAUGCUUGACCAUCACUUUUGUAGCACAAAGUGAUGAGUAGGAGGGCGUGGAGGUUGUAGAGAAGUGUAAGAUGUAAAUCUACAUAGAACGGCCUCCAGUGCAGAUCUUGGUGGUAGUAGCAACUAUUUAAAUGAAACCUUUAAAGACUGAAGCGGAGAAGGGUUCCAUGUGAACAGCAAUUGGACAUGGGUUAGCCGUUCCUAAGAAUAGGAGCUUUUUCUCUAUAAGUAAAGCUAUGCUUUCGCUUUCGACAGGGAAUUAGGUUAAGAUUCCUAAGCUGGGAAGUGGAUAUUGCGUGGCAACACAAAUAAACUUGGAAAUGCAAGACGUAGCCCCGCGUAGCGUUAUCUGUGCUGCUUAACAUUCAUUUUUCCCUGGAAGUAGAUUACCUAAAGAUAGGGAAAAACAGAUGGAAUAGCACCUUACUUUUAAAGGUGUGCGGAGUGCAGCGUUUUGCCCUUGAAACUCCAAGGGAACGUAUCGUCCACAGCCCUAGUCGUACCAAUAACCGCAUCAGGUCUCCUAGGUUAGCAGCCUCUGGUCAUUAGACUAAAGUAGUUCAGGGAAGUCGGCAAAUUAGAUCCGUAACUUUGGAAAAAGGAUUGGCUCUGAGGGCUGGAUAAAGAAAUACUUCAGCUAAUCUAAGCGUUGAGGGUAUAGCUAUUCUUCGCCUAUGGUAAAGAAUGGAUGUACUCACGACAGCCUAGUGCGGCUUUUGCGUUUUUUUAUGAGAAACAGUUAACUCAGAACUGGAGCGGACAAGAGGAAUCCGACUGUUUAAUUAAAACAAAGCAUUGCGAUGGCCUUAAUUGGUGUUGACGCAAUGUGAUUUCUGCCCAGUGCUCUGAAUGUCAACGUGGUGAGAUUCAACUAAGCGCGGGUAAACGGCGGGAGUAACUAUGACUCUCUUAAGGUAGCCAAAUGCCUCGUCAUCUAAUUAGUGACGCGCAUGAAUGGAUUAACGAGAUUCCUACUGUCCCAAACUACUAUCUAGCGAAACCACAGCCAAGGGAACGGGCUUGGAAAAAUCAGCGGGGAAAGAAGACCCUGUUGAGCUUGACUCUAGUUUGACUUUGUGAAACGACUUAGAAGGUGUAGAAUAAGUGGGAGUAUCAACGUCCGUGAAAUACCACUACUUUUAAUGUCGUUUUACUUAAUCUGUGAGGUUGAAACUUACCACCGGUAAGUUUUAGACUUAAGGCUUUUAUGCUGAUCAAUUUGGAUGACAGAGUCAGAUGGGGAGUUUGGCUGGGGCGGUACAUCUGUUAAACAACAACGCAGGUGUCCUAAGGCGAGCUCAAUGAGAACAGAAAUCUCAUGUGGACCAAAAGGGGAAAAGCUCGCUUGAUUUUGAUUUUCAGUACGAAUACAAACUGCGAAAGCAUGGCCUAUCGAUCCUUUAGUUCUGAAAAAUUUUCAGCUAGAGGUGCCAGAAAAGUUACCACAGGGAUAACUGGCUUGUGGCAGCCAAGCGUUCAUAGCGACGUUGCUUUUUGAUCCUUCGAUGUCGGCUCUUCCUAUCAUUGAGGACGCAGAAGUCCCAAAGUGUCGGAUUGUUCACCCGUUAAUCAGGGAACGUGAGCUGGGU
rnacentral:rRNA from 1 species